rnacentral:lncRNA from 1 species
AGCCCAGAUCAGCAAGGUUAGAGCAUCUAACUUGCAAGGUAAUAGAUCUGAUCUAUUGUUUAAUACAUACAUUAGAUGUGGUAUAAAAACAUGUUGAUAUGAUCAAUAUGUAGUUCAUGCUAUAUUUAUAUAUUUUAAUUUUUGAUUUAAUGCUAUGUAAUAAUCAUGUAAUAGGAUCUUAGAUCUAGAGAUUCUCUAGUUUUAGAAAAUAAAUUUUGAUUUAUUUUAGUCUUCCGCUGUAUGAUCUUGAAAAAGUUUCAAGAUCUAACCUUGAAACCCU